rnacentral:rRNA from 1 species
GUCUACGACCAUGCCACCCUGAACAUGCCUGAUCCAUUCUGAUCUUGGAAGCUAAGGAGGGUCAGGCUUGGUUAGUACUUGGAUGGGAGACCACCUAUGAAGACCAGGUGCUGUAAGCA